UGAGGCUGGACGUGGCAGCCAGGGAGACCUUGAGGAAUGCAGUGCUGAGCACAGCUGGCCAUCGUUGCCCUGAUCAGCCCCACAGGAUCCUAGAUCUUCAGCCCGAUCCCCUUGUGUGCUCAGCCUUGCCUGAACUACACCUCACCUGUACCCAGCCCUAGCCACCACAACUGCCCUGGAGCUCCAUGGGACCAUUUGGAACCUUCCAUUAGGAAGAUAUAUAUGCUGGAUAUCCCAAAUAUCCUGGUUUUUGGAUUCACUUUAUUUUCACUGGCCAGAAAGAAGAUACAGCCGUAACUCUUUGCUUCAACCAGUGCCAUUCAGGACCAAAUGCAGGCAGCAACAGUACUUCACAGUCUUGUACCGGGAGCAAGAAGUCAGAAUCUCACGAAAUAUUUUUAAGGAAGCAAAAUUUUGAGGCAGGAUACUCCUCGUUACGCUGGAUUCUGGAUCCUUUCCCAGCCUCCUGUAGAUUUUGGAAAGUCUCCCACUCAGCUGCCAUGUGGAAGGCUUUGAACUUAAAAUGGGAACAGGCACAGCACAACCGGGGUUGGGGGUGGCUGGCAGUCCUCCCCCCCUCUCGCCCUUCCCUCCCCAGUGCGACCACUGCGAAUCCGUCCUAGAGCCCCAAGAGCUUGGGGAGAGGCUGUGGCGAAAUGUGUUCCAGUACUAUGGCAAAGUGUCCUGCUUCAACAGGUGACACCGGGAUUUCUCUAUAAACAAAACAAAACAAAACAAAAAAAAACACAAAUGGCUUCCCCUUCAAGAAAUGGACAUGUUGGUGGAGAAAAUGCCACCUGUGCAUCAGCUCCCCUUUGAUUAUAAAUGUGCCUUGAGUCAGGAGAAAAAAACACGCUGCAAACUACUCAGCUGAUAAGCACAAGCAAUUAAUUUAAUUGUGGCAUACAUCUGGUAAACCUCACUCCUAUCAGUGUGAGUUGUGUACAGCUCAAUCUGGCUCAUAAAACAAACACAGCUUUGGGCAGCUACUCAGCAGAGCCCCGUCUUGCUUCAUCCCACUCAGAAGCGUAGUCACGGCCCUUAUAUGUGACAUACUUAUUUGUAGAUAGGUGUGAUGUUUGCAUAUAGGGUCUGAACUGAAAAGAUGAAGAGAUACCCUGAGAUACUGUCAGUAUUGCCCUCGAUACCCUUGAUACACCUGGUGCUGUGUUUACCUGUCAUAACACAUUUCCGAAGAUCUCCGUGUUGGCCUGAGGAGCUGCAGAGAGCUGCUGCUGUGCUGCAGCGCCACAACCCACUUUCCUCACUUCCUUCCUUGUGCUGUUGUGUAAAGCUGUGGUCACCAGCACAGAAGACAAACAGACUGGAUAUUUUUAAUCCAUCUUUUAAAAGGCUUCAUCAGGCUUGUUCCUCGAUGCAGCAGCAUUGUGUUUAGUUACACCACCUCCACGCUCUCGAUGGCCAGCACACCGUGCGAAGCGCUGCACCUCAGAGGAGGAGGUAUGGCCAGGCCCAUCCUACCCCUCCUGUUUUUUCCUGGGAUGGAGAUUAGAAAAGCAGUUUUCAGUAGUGAUGGGAAGAGCAUCAUAUUGGCAUACAUGGGGAUUUCUUGCAGUUUCAGACGUGCCUGCACUGUAACAAAAGGCAUCACACAGGAAACAGACGUCAUGGGGCUGAGCUCUGCGUUGUUGGUGUGUUCAUGGGUCUUGAAAUAUCCAAGAUAAGAGCUUUGUUCCUUUGCAGAAUGCACGGGGGAAAGAGAAACAUCACAGUGUACAAAUGAAUCAAUCUACACCCUCCAGAGGAGGUAAUACUGGUGUAGUAAGAGAUGCUAAAGCAGCUCAGGAGCAGAAUAUUGAACUCAAGAAAGCAAUCAAAUGCAGCAGGUUUUUCAGGGAUUUUUUUUUUUUUCCCUCUGGGAUCUCCGCUGCUGCAUUUGUGUAGGUACACAGCAUCCAGCAGGAGAAAAAAUUCCUCGCUGAAGAGGUUUCCAAGAGAGAACAGCAGACAAGAUAAGUGUGAGCAGUCACUGGCAGAAGUUUCAAUGCAGCACUCCAGUCUGCUGGUAUUUAACAUUCAGUAGUAGGCAUGGACCGAGUCCCGCUAAUUGUAAGGACAUCUCUCCAUCGCACCACACUGGGAACUGUCUGAGUCAGCAGCAUUGAUGAUGCUUCACACAAACACACUAACGUCUGCCAAUACGCCACGAGGGAGGGGAGGACUUGCUGAAGUAGAGGAUGCCUCGUGAAUAUUUUUGUGCUGUUACCCAAAGAGGAGGGAUGAGCUGCUGCUGCCCGCUCCCCCGGUGCUCCUGCCCAGGAGGCAGGCGGCACGCUGCAGGCCAGCUGGCCUGGCCCCCUCGCCAAGCGGGACACCGCUCUGCUGGCCCACAGAAACACCGGUGGCUACGCUUCCUGACCAGAAACCCGUUUCACCCAGAAGGGCGAUGCUCCCCCAGGAGCAGAGCACCAUCCCCAUUUCUCCAUUUUCCCAUUCAGGAGCACUUUGCCUCCUCCUCCCCUCCCCCGUGGGUGAGAAUCGCUGCAGGCCUCCCCCGCGGCCUGGCCACAGGCGCCUCACAGCAGCAGCUCCCCAUUGGGGCUUUGCCUUAAAAACAAGCCUCAGUCGCGUGAGGGGGUUGAACGGCUGCGUCGGGAAAACUGCGUAAUGAAGGGCUUUCUGAAGCAUGCAUUAUACCCGUUUCAAACUACAAAGCAAUUGAAAGAUCAGUGGUCAGGGAUUUAUGAAAUGAUUUAUUGUCUCGGUGACCACAGAGAUAUUUCUUGCCAAUGGAGUAUUUUUUUUCUGUCACAGGGACAACAGUUGUUUUUAUCCAGGGCCAAAACCCGAAGCCAUUAUUCAUUUUAUUACUUGGGCAAAAUUCUCAUUAAAGUCUUAAGGGAUUGGCUCAAGACUCGAUAUUUCAAAGGAGACUGCAUUUAGAAGAGAAAAUAGAAGCAAAAUCUCCGCAAACAUCGGAGCAUGUCUUUAAACUCCUUCUACAAACACAUUAAGGCCACUGUGAUGCAAAGAGGGAAAGUUAGUUCGGCUGCAAUUCCCACUCUUCCUGCAUGCCAGGAGAUUGCGAGGUGGAUUUCUCCUGAAGAUAAUGUUGUUUACCCUCUACCGAGGUAGCCUUAACACAAGCCCGCUCUGCUGCUUAUCAUCCUGGCGCCUGAGAAGGUCUUGGAUAGCCUGCAACUAAAAACACGGGUGGUGAUAGAGCCCUGCAGGUGUGCUGCCAGAGAACUGACGAGGUAGUCGCUGGGGCAGGCCGAGAUGAAAAUAAACAGCGUGAGGAUUGCAGUCUGGCCCGAGGGUCUCCAGAGAGAGAUUGAGGGAACGGUGCACAAACUGAUCAGCAGGCAUCGCUGCUGCCUGCUGGAUGCGUGUGGUUUCUCCUCUAAUGCAGUCGGAGAAGUAUCUGUGUACAGGCGAGGUACCGGGCGAUUCUGCAGGUUAUCUGGUGACUCACCUGGGAAUCACCAGCAAGAAGGAAACGCUGAGGCCCAAGUUCGUAGUAAUGUGGAUGAGAAAAUGUCUAUACCGUGACACCAACAUUGUAACCCCAGAAAGCAACCUGGCCUCUCAAAUCACUUCAGGCAGCUUACUGACCUUUCUUAGCAUCACGUUUUCACUUCUCUCCAUGCUUCAGUCUGUAAAGCAGAGCAUCCCCACAUCACGUACUGUUGGCAAUCUCUUCUGAGAGACAUGGACUGACAGAGCUCUGAGAAUCAGUUUGUAUUUCAUCUCUAGAGCUGAAGUAGCUGGCCAGCACUGAGAGGUACAGACUUUCCCGGAAACACUUGCUUAACUCCAGCUGCACGUGGGAUUUCUACCAGAGCUGUCAACCCAACACACCACACGAGCGUUUUACUACGUUAAGAAACUAUCUGUUCUAGGUAAGAUGCUUAAAAGUUUGGGAAGCACAUUGAGAAUAGGUAAAUACAUUCUGCUGCUAUUUUGCAAAUGUCCCUACCACAAACGGUUUAUUAAGCAAACAAACAAACAAACAAACAAAAAAAAACCCACACCACCAGAAGUUCAAUAGAUGAAUCUUCACUGGCUUCAGAACUGGUAUUUGCAUGGCUGCCAAAUGUCUGAACCUCUUUCAGCCAACCAACUGGACCACAAAGCCUCUUAAGAGUUCACAAAAGUGCUCCCUAUAGCACACACACCCGUUAAACUCAAACCCUGUUUCUCUUUAACCGUUCAUAAAUAUUUCUCAUUUUUAUUAUUGAUCCAUAUUAUUAUUACUCUUCAAUCACAGCUCAUGUGAUAGAUACAGCCGAAGUUAGCAUUAGGUGGCCCAAGGAAGAAAACACACAAACAUGCACACACAGAUUACAUCCAAGCUUUGCAUGCUUUCAGCAGACAAUCCGUUCCAGAUCUAUGAGUCACCAUUAUUGACGUGAUAUUAUAAGGGGGAUUUAUAAGGAGGAUUUGCAUACAUGACUAAGUGAAUGAACUGAUCCUUUACUGUGUGGGAAAAGGAGUAGAUGUUACAUACAGAUUUCAAAGAAAGAUGCAAAACAUCUGGGAAGGCUUCUGACUUAACACAGAAAGUUUUUGGUCUUGUUUUUAUUAAUUUUUCCCUUGUGGAUCACCUCCUAUAGCACCCUGUAGAAUUGUAAUUGAAUAUCCAGCUUCUGAAUCUUGUAACUUGUUGUGAUAUUGUGAGAAAAAUCAGGUUCUUCAUAACAGACCAUAUUUUCUCCCCGAUAUAGCAGAGGCAGUCACCGACUAAAUAUCCACUAAAUGCCUUGUUCAGAUUAUUCCUUCUCUGCCAAAAUAUGCAACAUCAUGGAAACUAAAUGCCUAUUUAGGGAAUAAUCAACAGAGGUGCAGAGAACACCUUCAUUUACUGAUAGCAGUCUUGCAAUGCACACAUAACAGACUGAGUAGUCACUAGUAGUCACUGACUCCUGAAAGGAAAGCAGAGGAAGAGAAUAACUCUUGCUGGACCAAACUGGUUUUACACUGCAGUGGUGUAAAUUAAACCAGUUACACCCAAUUUACAUUACUGUGUACUAAAGUAGGAUAGGAUGCAUUCAUUAGAAUAUGAACAAGGAGGAGGCCAACCUACACCACCCAUACUUGGGUGCUAGAAAAAAAAAUGCAUUAGCAAGAGUUUUGUAUUUCCUUAUUUCCCUGGAAUGCUGAUGUAUUUAGAGUCCAGAAACCCUCAUUUUUAGCCCUGCUUCCUAAGGAAGGGUGGCUUCUGCAGCAAGGGGACCCAUCUGUCUACUUCAACCUUUGGCUGAAAUUGUUCAGCAGGUCCACACCCAAAAGAGGGCAGUGAUCUUGGAACAGCUUCAUGCUGAUGAGAUGGAGCAUGCAGCCAGUGUUCCCAUGGAGCAAGGCAGGCAGAACUGCAGCCCUGUCCAUUGCAUUUGGCAGAAGACAGUUGGCCAGCCUGUGCAUUUUAAAGUCAAGAUUAGCCACAGCCCAUGCUGCUUUUUGCCUGAUUUGACAGGAUAUCGUUGGGGAAGUCAGAGCUAUUGUGGAAAGGUUAAGAAACAGAGAAACCUAGGAAGUGAGACUUUAUUACUCUACUCAUUGAACAGCUGUUGCAUCCAUUAUCAGCGUAAAAUGGUGUGUAUAGUUUUAUGCUUAAUGAUACAAAAGCACAUACAUUCCAACACUGGGUAAGACAGACCAAAGGGUAGCUUAAUAUAGUUAUAUUGAAGGAUAAUGGAGCCGUGGAAGUGUAUAUCUAUGAACUAUAUUGUUUAUUACCAGGGAGGUAGGUCAGCUAGAUACCAUUUCUGCAGACAGAAACUUCUCUGCUCUCUGGCUUUUAUGAUCUUAGGGUUGUUUGAGUCAGUUCAUUAACUGACAGAUUAAUAAUUAAAAAAAAAACAACCCAACACAAUAAAGUGAAUGUUCAUUGUCUGAAAGUGAUGUUAUACACGGAAGCAGACUGAAACAGCACUCUCGUCAGCAAUACCUUCUAGCCACAGUAUUUCCUGGGAACUGCUGACCCAAGCACAGCUUGGCAUUGCUUCCAAAGUUCCUCAAAGAAAUAAUCUAGGCGGACAAUGUCUUGUUCUAUCUUUUAUUCCUUGAUAAGGUCUUGGUCUGCCUUUUAUUCCUCUCUAGAUAUGGAAAGAUAGCACUCUUCAUUAAAUUCUUUCCAACAUUACCUGUUAACUGUUCACGAAAUAUCUAAGCAUAUAUUUUCACAGUACUCUAAGUCCUCAUCCCAUUAAAAGAUACACACGUUUCAAUGUCAGUAAAAAGUCUUCCAACAUUUAAGACAAAUUAAGAAGCCUCUGCAUAUGACAGAUCUGAGAAAGAGACCAAGUUUUGCUGAAGGUUUGUCUUUCUAACAUGCCUAUGGGAAUAAAAGAAAAGUGAUUACCCGA